rnacentral:lncRNA from 7 species
GGGUAAGUCCUGCCUGGAUGGUGAAGCAAGAAGGAGCUGAGGUGGGCUUUGCUAAGGGCCUCUGAUGGGAAUGGUUGACAUCUGAGCCUCCUUCCAACCCCCUUGCAGGAUUCCUCAUGCCCCAACUCCUGAACCAGCUGACCUGAUUCUGCCCAGGUUGACAGAGCGCAAGAGGUCUCACACAUCCAAGAUUCCUGCAAUUUUUGUGAAGAAGCAGCAGCUGGACAGAGGGCAGAUAUUUAAGUUAAUAUCCUAUUGCAGGAGAGUGCAGUUGCUGCCUUUCUUCAGAGCAAGAAGAGCUGGUUUGGUUGCUGUCCUUCAAAUGAUGGAUCUUAUCACGUGGGAAAAAGAAAAAAAGCAAACCACCUGCAAACAGCCACAGGUGUGGACAAGACCAAGGACUGAAGCUGAAGGGUGUGCAAGCUCCCAUCUGCGUGCCAGCCUGGGCGUACUGUAAGGUGGAGACAUCUGCAACUUCAUGCGCUGCACCAUGGAUGGGCUUUCUUCUUGUCAGGAGUGUUUGCCUUUGGGAUCCUCCUAUUGUUGGGGCACCACCGAGAGGAUUACUGUUUGCUCUUUGCUUCUGCAUUCACCUCUAGUCGCAGAUGCAGCCAGGCCUUCCCAACCAGCUGCUUUUCCUGAGCUGCAGGAGCAGAAGACAAGCCCAGGCAGGGCCAUCUGCAGCAGCUGCUGUGCUCCAGCAGGGCAGUCAGGCUGAGGCAUGCUGCAGUGCUGCUCCUCUCCUCUACCCACCUCGUGGAUGCAUCAAGCGCUUCUGUUUACACGGCCAUCAGUCUGGCAGCUUUCCUCAACACUAAAUUUACUUUUUGAAGUUACAUCAGUGUUGUACCCAGAGGGAAUGGAGGAACAGAUGCAGCCUGUGAAGUCUGGCUUUAAUUCACCUGCCUCAUUUAAUUUCCUGCCCUGCCUUCUAAUCAAUGAGUCUGCACUGGCAGCCCUGGGAAUACAGAGGUUUUCUCACAUACAGGAGACCUCUCACCUACAGGAGAUCUCAGGGUCUCCAGCAGGCCAUGUCCCGUCUCCUUCGAGGCUCUCUGUGCCCCAGAAGCACUGCACACACACAGUGGCUGCAUCGCAUUUCCUCCAUGGGGCCACUGGUGGUCCUUCACCAGGAGAGCAGCAUUACACCACCUCAGAGCUGUGUGCCCCAGAUACUUGGGACUGCCAGGAAACGUGGAAGAAAGGGGCUGGGGCAUUGCUGCUUUGCUGAGCAGGCUCCCACUGUCCUGUUCCUUUUUUUUUUCCUUGAGCUCAUGUUUAUUCCAGGCAGCACUGCCCAGUUGCUUAAUCAGCCAAUGUCAAAACCCUGCAAGAGAAGAAGGCUGCCCUUGGCUGGCAGCAGUUAUUUUGUGACGUGUCUGCUUCACCUCAUGUAUUAUAAUCUGUAUCAGAUUGCUCUUUGCUUGCUAAAAUGGACAAUUAGGAUCCGGUUGUAAUGCAAAUUGCACAGUG